UGGGGAAUAUUGCACAAUGGGCGCAAGCCUGAUGCAGCCAUGCCGCGUGUAUGAAGAAGGCCUUCGGGUUGUAAAGUACUUUCAGCGAGGAGGAAGGCGUUGUGGUUAAUAACCGCAACGAUUGACGUUACUCGCAGAAGAAGCACCGGCUAACUCCGUGCCAGCAGCCGCGGUAAUACGGAGGGUGCAAGCGUUAAUCGGAAUUACUGGGCGUAAAGCGCACGCAGGCGGUCUGUCAAGUCGGAUGUGAAAUCCCCGGGCUCAACCUGGGAACUGCAUCCGAAACUGGCAGGCCAGAGUCGUGUAGAGGGGGGUAGAAUUCCAGGUGUAGCGGUGAAAUGCGUAGAGAUCUGGAGGAAUACCGGUGGCGAAGGCGGCCCCCUGGACAAAGACUGACGCUCAGGUGCGAAAGCGUGGGGAGCAAACA
rnacentral:rRNA from 1 species